rnacentral:rRNA from 1 species
CCAGGCUCGAACGGUGAUGGACAUCCGGCGAAAGCCGGCUCCCGCAAGGGCCGUCAUCGAGGUGCUGCAUGGCUGUCGUCAGCUCGUGUCGUGAGAUGUUGGGUUAAGUCCCGCAACGAGCGCAACCCUUGUCCGCUGUUGCCAUCAGGUUAAGCUGGGCACUCUGCGGAGACUGCCGGUGAUAAACCGGAGGAAGGUGGGGAUGACGUCAAGUCAGCAUGGCCUUUAUGUCUGGGGCUACACACGUGCUACAAUGGCAGAUACAAACCGUCGCGAUGCCGCAAGGUGGAGCUAAUCGGAGAAAGUCUGUCUCAGUUCGGAUUGCAGGCUGCAACUCGCCUGCAUGAAGUUGGAAUCGCUAGUAAUCGCGGAUCAGCACGCCGCGGUGAAUACGUUCCC